rnacentral:rRNA from 1 species
GAUAAACGCUGGCGGCGUGCAUGAGACAUGCAAGUCGAACGAAGGAUCGGGCUUGCUCGAUCCUUAGUGGCGGACGGCUGAGUAACGCGUAGGUGACCUACCCCGAAGUGGGGAAUAACUGCCCGAAAGGGUGGCUAAUACCGCAUGUGGUCGCACGUUCAUUCGUGCGAGUAAAGCCGCAAGGCGCUUCGGGAGGGGCCUGCGUCCGAUUAGCUCGUUGGUGGGGUAAUGGCUUACCAAGGCGACGAUCGGUAGGUGGUCUGAGAGGACGAUCACCCAGACUGGGACUGAGACACGGCCCAGACUCCUACGGGAGGCAGCAGUCGGGAAUUUUGCUCAAUGGGGGAAACCCUGAAGCAGCAACGCCACGUGAGGGAUGAAGGCCUUCGGGUUGUAAACCUCUUUUGUCAGGGACGAUGAUGACGGUACCUGGCGAAUAAGCCACGGCUAACUACGUG